UGGGGAAAGGGAAGAGUAAUAUAUCGGAACGUGCCCAGAGUGUGGGGGAUAACUGCACGAAAGAGCAGCUAAUACCGCAUACGACCUGAGGGUGAAAGCGGGGGAUCGCAAGACCUCGCGCAAUUGGAGCGGCCGAUAUCAGAUUAGGUAGUUGGUGGGGUAAAGGCCUACCAAGCCUACGAUCUGUAGCUGGUCUGAGAGGACGACCAGCCACACUGGGACUGAGACACGGCCCAGACUCCUACGGGAGGCAGCAGUGGGGAAUUUUGGACAAUGGGGGCAACCCUGAUCCAGCCAUGCCGCGUGCGGGAAGAAGGCCUUCGGGUUGUAAACCGCUUUUGUCAGGGAAGAAAAGACUCCUACUAAUACUGGGGGUUCAUGACGGUACCUGAAGAAUAAGCACCGGCUAACUACGUGGCAGCAGCCGCGGUAAUACGUAGGGUGCAAGCGUUAAUCGG
rnacentral:rRNA from 1 species